AAGCCAAAGAAUUCUACACAAAAAUGGUUGAACAAAAAAAUCAGGUCAUCCCUCUUCUUACUCCUUACAAGAUGGGGAACUUAAAUCUUUCACACAGAAUCGUUUUGGCGCCACUAUUUAGAGCAAGAUCUUA